rnacentral:misc_RNA from 1 species
GUACUUUAUCGCAUUCGCGAAGAAGAAUAUCAGACGGUCGUCACACGAAACGGUCUUUUGCGGUCCUGCGGCGGGCGGCUCCCCGCGAGGGGGGGUCGCCGGGGGCUCCCGGCCCGCCGAGGCAACGUUUGGUUCGGUACGCGGUGGUUUGAGGGUCGGGCCACGAGGGCGCCGGUUCUCGGUAAUGAUCCUUCCGCAGGUUCACCUACGGAAA